rnacentral:lncRNA from 1 species
GGCGGGACAGGCGAGGGGGCGCGGCGGCCCCGGGCAGGGCCCCGUGGGGCGGCCCCCGGGCCGACAUCCCCCAGCCUGCAGGCCUGGGGUCCACCGAGGGCGAGAAGCAGGCAAAGCCCUGGGUGAGCAGACCCGAGAAAACCACUCUCCAGCACUGCCCGGCUACGGCCAGCUGCCAGCCCCGAAGGCCAGGCGGAUACGGGAAGAGAAGCCUGCAGGUGGAGACCGCAGGUGAGGACGCAGGCACACGGAAUCCAGCAAGGGAGCCCGGAUUCCUGGGCCCAGCAACGGUAACAGGAGGUAGGGAUGUGGCAGAGCAGAGAAACAGAGGUCAGAGGCACGGCCAAGGAAACUGGGAUCAGGAAGCAAAGGCCGGACUUCCACUCGAGUGAGAGGUGGGUGGCCCUGCGGGGUCCCAGGGUGGGGGGGAGCGGGUG